GGAUUCCCCCUAGUACUGCGAGUGAAGCGGGAAGAGCUCAAAUUUGAAAUCUGGCGGUCGUGGGCCGUCCGAGUUGUAAUCUAGAGAAGUGCUACCUGUGCUGGACCGUGUACAAGUCUCCUGGAAUGGAGCAUCGCAGAGGGUGAGAAUCCCGUCUUUGACACGGACUGCCAUGUACGUCAUGGUGCGCUCUCGAAGAGUCGAGUUGUUUGGGAAUGCAGCUCAAAAUGGGUGGUAAAUGCCAUCUAAAGCUAAAUAUUGGCGAGAGACCGAUAGCGAACAAGUACCGUGAGGGAAAGAUGAAAAGAACUUUGGAAAGAGAGUUAAACAGUACGUGAAAUUGCUGAAAGGGAAACGCUUGAAGUCAGUCGCGUCGGCCAGAAAUCAGCCUUUGCUUUUGCUUGGUGUACUUUCUUGGUUGAUGGGUCAGCAUCAAUUUCGACCGUCGGAUAAAGUCGUUGGGAAUGUGGCAUCUUCGGAUGUGUUAUAGCCCGGCGUCGCAUACGGUGGUUGGGAUUGAGGAACUCAGCACGCCGAAAGGCCGGGUCUCUCGAGACCACGUCCGUGCUUAGGAUGCUGGCAUAAUGGCUUUAAUCGACCCGUCUUGAAACACGGACCAAGGAGUCUAACAUGCCUGCGAGUGUUUGGGUGGAAAACCCAUACGCAAAAUGAAAGUGAAAGUUGAGAUCCCUUCCUUUGAGGGGGGAGCAUUGACGCCCGGACCAGACCUUUUGCGAAGGAUCCGCGGUAGAGCAUGUAUGUUGGGACCCGAAAGAUGGUGAACUAUGCCUGAAUAGGGUGAAGCCAGAGGAAACUCUGGUGGAGGCUCGUAGCGAUUCUGACGUGCAAA
rnacentral:rRNA from 1 species